rnacentral:rRNA from 1 species
UACGUAGGGUGCAAGCGUUAAUCGGAAUUACUGGGCGUAAAGCGUGCGCAGGCGGUUGUGCAAGACCGAUGUGAAAUCCCCGGGCUUAACCUGGGAAUGGCAUUGGUGACUGCACGGCUAGAGUGUGUCAGAGGGGGUAGGAAUUCCACGUGUAGCAGUGAAAUGCGUAGAGAUGUGGAGGAAUACCGAUGGCGAAGGCAGCCCCCUGGGACUAA